rfam:Candidatus Yanofskybacteria bacterium RIFCSPLOWO2_01_FTLL_49_17 rifcsplowo2_01_scaffold_12852, whole genome shotgun sequence.
AAGGCAAAAGCCGGCUUAACUGCAAGACGGAUGUGUCGCGCAGAUGCGAAAGCAGGACUUAGUGAACCGACUCUUGCUCGUAGGAGCGGAGAAGAUCAUCAGAUAAAAGCUACUCCGGGGAUAACAGGCUAGUACUGCCCGAGCGUUCACAGCGACGGCAGUGUUCGGCACCUCGAUGUCGGCUCGCCCUAUCCUCCUGCUGAAGAAGGUGGGAAGGGUUUGGCUGUUCGCCAAUUAAAAGGGUACGUGAGCUAGGUUCAAACCGUCGUGAGACAGGUUGGUCCAUAUCUGGUGCGGGCGUUGAAAUUUGAGGAGGGUUGUGGCUAGUACGAGAGGACCGCCAUGAACGAACCUCUGGUCUGCCGGCUGUUCCGCCAGGAGCAGCGCCGGGUAGCUAUGUUCGGUUCCGAUAAGCGCUGAAAGCAUAUAAGCGCGAAACGGGCUCCAAGAUGAGAUUUCUCAGACACCUUGUAGAUCACGAGGUUGAUAGGGCUCAGAUGUACGCGCCGCGAGGCGCUUAGUCGAGAGCUACUAACCAGUCAUAAAUAUUUCUCUU